CCGCCCUUCAUUCACCACAUGGUUAAAAGCGGGGUACGUUCGCGCCACUUUCGCAAUUUUACUACGAUUCACCAACUCCUGGCGAAUCAAAAUAGCAGCAUGUGGCGAUGCAAAUUUUGUGAUUUUGCUUAGCUACGAUUUGAUUUAGAAGUUAUGGUUUAGUUUCGUUGAUAUGCCUGGAGCCGUGACAGUGAACGACACCAUACGGUCGUGACGGACCCGCUGAAUCAGCUACCUGUUUGCCUGCGCAACAGACCCAGGGCGACCGUACGACUGUAGCCCAAGGUCUCCACUAACAGGGGGAAAAAGUUAACACUUCUUGCAGCCAAAGAGGACAAGUGUUCAUCUGGGAGUCACGCUGUAGAAAGACAUGUCAGUGGACCGGCCCAGUCAUUGCAGUGCCAAAGUGCUUACAGUGCAGGUAGUCUUGUAAUACCUACUGCAGUGAAGGCACUUUAAGCACUGCACUGGCACAGUGGCUGGCUCUGUUGUGCACUGCUUGUGCAGACCUUAACCCGGUGCUUAUGCUAAGGUGCAUCUAGUGCAGAUAGUGACAUAGACUAGCACCUACUGCCCUGAGUGCUCCUUCUGGCAUAAGGGCCUGGGACCCGUCUGUUCGUUUAUUUUUGUUUGUUUUUUGAGAAUGUGCUUUCUUACAGAUCACUGCCAGUUUUGCAUAGUUGCACUACAAGAAAAAUUGAGUUGUGCAAAUCUAUGCAAAACUGACGGUGGCCUGUGUGUCCGUCGGUCGGUGUCUUUUUUCCGGUGGUGUCGGUUGAUCGUGCCGGAAGGCAGCUGUUGUUGUGCUGUGUGUAUUGCAGUAUACAAACAGGUUUCAGCAGUAUUAAAGUGCUUAUAGUGCAGGUAGUGUUACUUCGAUCUACUGCAGUGUGAGCACUUGAAGUACUUCUAGAUGCGUGCGUCGCCGUGGAGCAGUGUGUAGUCGCGGAGCAGUGCGGAGCCUUGCCUGGGCCGGAAUCACUGGGCUAUGGUCAGUUUUGCUGGUUUGCGGUCAGCUUUUCAAUGCACUGCUGUGCAAAUCCAUGCAAAACUGAUCACAGCAGUGGCUGGAAAUCCUCCGUUUGGAAUAGCAGUCCCUUUCUCGGCCGGUUGGGAUAGGCGGCAAUGCCCUUUGACCUCACGGUAUUGCACUUGUCCCGGCCUGUUGAGGACUUGAGGGAAUUGUCCUGCUGCAGAAGUUCCUCGGUGUCUUUGGACCACAUCUGUUUGUUUUGAAUGUGUCCACUGGAUUUUAAGUGUAGUUUACUUUCGCUUUAAUGUAUAUUUGGUUCUCAUCGCUCACCUUUUAGUUUGGUGAACAUUUUUCAUUACAGUUGCUGUGUUGGUUUUAAGAUGAAUAAGAUUGUGGGUUAAAAUACAUUUUGCCCCCCAGGCUGACAUUUUUCACUCUAAACUGGCACACCUGAUUCAAUUGGUAAACUGAUCAUCAGUCUGUGGACUAAUUGAGCUGGGUGGUGGCCCAGAGGAGCUGGGUGGGAAGCACGUGUCUUAACUGUUAUAAUACUGUAUUAAGUGAAUGUGUCUUGAGGGCCGACAUGUCAGGGAAACGGACGUUCCAUUCAGGUUAUCUGGUUAACUGUCACAUUAAAUGGUUUGAUGCAUUUCAAGACAUGGUCUUUGAACUGCUAAUUGUUUUAAUCUCUCAGCCUUCUCAAGGCUUUUGUCAUCAGUAAAAAACAAAAAGGGCAGCCUUUUAGAGACUGGCACUGGUGCAAUGAAUGUUCUGCUGUUCCAUUAUCUUACUAUUGUGCAAGUUAAAGCAAAGUUCUGUGGCUGUAAAUCCUAUUGUGUAACACUUAUUAAUUGCAUGGCUUUGUAGAUGUCGUUUGUAGCAACUGAUUUGAAUAUUAAAUCCAGCCCAUGUAUUCAUUUCAUGACCAGUGGUCUGCUAUGGAUACAAGGUUUUGGGCGCCCAUAAGUGUCAAAUCCAUUAGUUAUGCCAAUUUUUCCAAUUAAGAUUACUGUGGGCUCUGUGCUGUUUCAGCCAUUUAUGGAAUCACGAGGAAGCACCAGUCAAACUAAUUGGGACUAAAACUAGUCUUUGGUUGCCAUGUCAAUACACUUGAUGUCAUGGACUUGUUUUUACUGCAUCAAAAAUAAGUCUGCUGGAUUUUGUCAUGUGAACUUGCCCAAGUUUGAAACUAAAUUGCUGUUGUGAACAUAAGGAAAGUCUAGGGGUGAGGUUGAAUAAUAACUGAAGUGCUUCUGUUUGUCCUUGUGUGGUCCAGGCUUUUGCGCUUCUAGCAAAAACAAUUUCCUACUGUCUCUUGUCAAAGCACAAAUAUGCUUGCAAAGAUUUCUUAAAGAAAUGCCUUGAUAUCCUAAGUCAUACAUCAUUGCAAACCACAGGGUGGGGUCAGCUGCAGUGUUUUAAAUAAAAUUGCUAUAGCCAAAGAA
ensembl:lncRNA